rnacentral:rRNA from 1 species
CAGCAGCCGCGGGAAAACGAAGGGGGCUAGCGUUGCUCGGAAUCACUGGGCGUAAAGGGUGCGUAGGCGGGCCUUUAAGUCAGGGGUGAAAUCCUGGAGCUCAACUCCAGAACUGCCUUUGAUACUGAAGAUCUUGAGUUCGGGAGAGGUGAGUGGAACUGCGAGUGUAGAGGUGAAAUUCGUAGAUAUUCGCAAGAACACCAGUGGCGAAGGCGGCUCACUGGCCCGAUACUGACGCUGAGGCACGAAAGCGUGGGGAGCAAACGGGAUUAGAGACCCGCGUAGUCCCUGUCUCUUAUAC